UAGCGGGUGGCUUGUAACACCCCGCUCACCAUCGUGCUAAGUUGUAGGGAAUAGAGUGAUGUCUACACGUCAACCUCUCCCGAUCCACCAGCAAGGUACUGGAAACAUUAGCACAGUUGCCUUCGUCAACUAUCACAUUAUAGACUUUUUCAUUGACCAGGCACCUGGAAUGAAAAAUAGUCUCUUGCUGACUGUUGCUUUUGGACUUAACAUGUAUGUUUAGUGCUCAUUGAGCUACAAAUACGUCUCCCUGUGCUAGUU
rnacentral:lncRNA from 1 species